rnacentral:rRNA from 1 species
GACGAACGCUGGCGGCGUGCUUAACACAUGCAAGUCGAACGGAAAGGCCCUGCUUUUGUGGGGUGCUCGAGUGGCGAACGGGUGAGUAACACGUGAGUAACCUGCCCUUGACUUUGGGAUAACUUCAGGAAACUGGGGCUAAUACCGGAUAGGAGCUCCUGCUGCAUGGUGGGGGUGGGAGAGUUUCGGCGGUGGGGGAUGGACUCGCGGCUUAUCAGCUUGUUGGUGGGGUAGUGGCUUACCAAGGCUUCGACGGGGAGCCGGCCUGAGGGGUGGACCGGCCACAUUGGAACUGGGCUACGGCCCAGCCUCCUACGGGAGGCAGCGGUGGGGAAUAUUGCACAAUGGGCGGAGGCCUGCUCCGGCACCGCCGCGGGCGGGAUGACGGCCUUCGGGUUGUAAACCGCUUCCGCCUGUGACGAAGCGUGAGUGACGGUAACGGGAGAAGAAGCACCGGCUAACUACGUG